GCCGUGCUUCAUCAGGCAAUAUGAUGGACACCUGUGAAAGUGCGAGGACCCGCCGCCGUGCAGCGCGGCAAUAAAGCAGUCCGCGUGCCGCUCCCAGCUUCCUUUGCGAUGUGCACUGCGAUGUGGUUGCAGUACAGAGACUUGCAUGAAGAAUGGCUUGACUGGACCCCUGGUACUUUAUUUAAUGACUUUCAUGGAGACUGGCUGAACUGGACCUAGGUACCCAGCUGUACUGACGUGUGGACCAAGCUGUUGUGAUGUCAUUGCUACAUGGUAAGUAUUGAAACCAGACUGUAAAACUUGACUUGAUGAUUCACUCUAUGAAAGUGAACAAGUACAGGGAAAUUAUUGCUUGACUGGUCCACUAUAUGGAGUGCCCAUGAUGAUUGCGUUUUUAUUCGGUUCAUCUGAUCUAAACUGAAGUUUUACUCGCAGCGCACUGAGGCCAUCCAGAGUUGACCUGUAUUCAGGUAGCAGGAAUGAAAAUGAGCUUUAGUGUGCAGGACUGAUUUUGAACAAUGGUUGCAUAAUCUUCAUUGGGCUGCUCCACAGAUUCACCUGUACAUGUAACUUGUUUUUGGAGUGCAGAAAUUGAAUCCUGUUGCCAAGACUGAAGAAGGACUGAAGAAGUUAGACUCGCAGGUAAUAUUAUGAAGCCCCAGCUAUCAACGAAGGAUUAUACUGUAUUGGAAUGACCUAUUAAUGUUAAUGCAAUACAGUAAUGUUUAGUACUAUACAUUGCAGGAGUUUAAUUUAUACACUUGUUUCUAAAGGUGAAGCUCUGACAUUAAGUAUAAAGGCUGAACUUGUUUAUUAAAUCACUAUUUCCUAUACUCAAAAUUUGUCUUUUUUGAUGUCAACUUGACACAUGAAGUCUUGUCAUCAGUACUUCAGCCUCAUU
rnacentral:lncRNA from 1 species